UGGGGAAUAUUGGACAAUGGGCGCAAGCCUGAUCCAGCCAUGCCGCGUGAGUGAUGAAGGCCUUAGGGUUGUAAAGCUCUUUCGCCGGUGAAGAUAAUGACGGUAACCGGAGAAGAAGCCCCGGCUAACUUCGUGCCAGCAGCCGCGGUAAUACGAAGGGGGCUAGCGUUGCUCGGAAUCACUGGGCGUAAAGCGCACGUAGGCGGAUCGUUAAAGUCAGGGGGUGAAAAUCCUGGAGCUCAAACUCCAGAACUGCCCUUGAUACUGGCGAUCUCGAGUUCGAGAGAGGUUGGUGGAACUCCGAGUGUAGAGGUGAAAAUUCGUAGAUAUUCGGAAGAAACACCAGUGGCGAAGGCGGCCAAACUGGCUCGAUACCUGACGCUGAGGUGCG
rnacentral:rRNA from 1 species